rnacentral:rRNA from 1 species
AUUGAACGCUGGCGGCAUGCCUUACACAUGCAAGUCGAACGGUAACGCGGGGCAACCUGGCGACGAGUGGCGAACGGGUGAGUAAUGCAUCGGAACGUGCCCGGUAGUGGGGGAUAACUGCUCGAAAGAGCAGCUAAUACCGCAUACGACCUGAGGGUGAAAGGGGGGGAUCGCAAGACCUCUCGCUAUCGGAGCGGCCGAUGUCGGAUUAGCUAGUUGGUGGGGUAAAGGCACACCAAGGCAACGAUCCGUAGCUGGUCUGAGAGGACGACCAGCCACACUGGGACUGAGACACGGCCCAGGCUCCUACGGGAGGCAGCAGUGGGGAAUUUUGGACAAUGGACGCAAGUCUGAUCCAGCCAUGCCGCGUGCGGGAAGAAGGCCUUCGGGUUGUAAACCGCUUUUGUCAGGGAAGAAAUCUUCUGGGUUAAUACCUCGGGAGGAUGACGGUACCUGAAGAAUAAGCACCGGCUAACUACGUGCCAGCCGCCGCAGUAAAAC